CAGUCCUCCACCCACAGGUUCAGUCACCUAAGCAACCCAGGUUGAUGUCCUGCAAGUUGGGACAACUGUGGCUCAAUGUGGGCUUGAUAGAGUAGGGAAUCUGGGAACUUUAGUGCUCAUUAGAGAGACAGGCCAGUCUAUGCAGUGAGGCGUCCAGGACAAGGUGGAUUGUGAGCCUCAGUCAGAGGAAGACCCAGCAGCCUGCCCAGCACUUGGGACUUUGGGGUCAUGAACACCACCUAUGUGGAAAGGGUCCCAAUCAACCCAUUCUACAUGUCCCCUGAAAAUGACCGAGAUGAUACUGACUCAACGAUCGACUUGGCUGGCUUCAUUUGUAUGGGAAAAUAAGCUCCUGUUACUCCUUUUUGCUUCCUUCUACCCAUUCCUACUACUUCCCCAUGGUUAACCACCCUCCCCCCUUCCCUCCUUGGACCCCUGAUAGGGCUCCUCUUAUUAUUUUCCUGUGGCCCUUGAGCCUUUAAUUGACUUGUGGUCAAGCAACAAAUGGACUCUGCCAUUAAGCCUGUCCUGGUCCAAUACUAACCCACUUCCCCACAGCCAGCUUCAGAGGUGCAGACCUGAUGGUACUACAAGGAGACGUCAUCUUCUGAGGAAUAUGCCUGUGUGCAAUGGGGUCGAUGUCCUAAAGCUCCCCCACCCCCACAAAAGGCAUCCAGACGGUCGUGCCUUUCAGAUGGCUCCAAGAAGCUGUCCCCAAGGGCAGAGAAAAUGGUCCUUUAUAAAAUCCACAUAGAUUCUCCAACUAGGGGCCAGGCCUCUAUCCCCCUCUGCUGAAAAUUUUGGCCACUUCUUUUUAUACAAGGAAGGGGGAAUGUGUUGGAAACCAAAGAUCUCAGGGCUUGGCUUGAGAUCCUAGGCCAUUUUUGGCUGGCCACAUAGUUGUAUACUAACCUUUACAUAGCAGCUCCUUAGAACCUCAGCUCAAGAAAAGAAACAACUUGACCCAGUCCUCCACCCACAGGCUCAGUCACCUAGGCAACCCUUCCUGGACCUCUUACUCAUGAACUCUUUACACUGCCAAACUUCCUCUUUUUGGCUUCCUAAUAUCCUGCCUACACUAAUACCUGGAGCACAAACAACCCAUUCUACCCCUCCCCAUAUCCUGCUCUACUGACUAUAUAAGCUAGCCUGAG
rnacentral:lncRNA from 1 species